UUAGAUCGGUAGUCUGAUUCAC
rnacentral:siRNA from 1 species